rnacentral:rRNA from 1 species
UAGGGAAUCUUCGGCAAUGGACGAAAGUCUGACCGAGCAACGCCGCGUGAGUGAAGAAGGUUUUCGGAUCGUAAAACUCUGUUGUUAGAGAAGAACAAGGACGUUAGUAACUGAACGUCCCCUGACGGUAUCUAACCAGAAAGCCACGGCUAACUACGUGCCAGCAGCCGCGGUAAUACGUAGGUGGCAAGCGUUGUCCGGAUUUAUUGGGCGUAAAGCGAGCGCAGGCGGUUUCUUAAGUCUGAUGUGAAAGCCCGCGGCUCAACCGGGGAGGGUCAUUGGAAACUGGGAGACUUGAGUGCAGAAGAGGAGAGUGGAAUUCCAUGUGUAGCGGUGAAAUGCGUAGAUAUAUGGAGGAACACCAGUGGAGAAGGCGGCUCUCUGGUCUGUAACUGACGCUGAGGCUCGAAAGCGUGGGGAGCAAACAGG